CUACGGGCGGCACCAGUGAGGAAUAUUGCACAAUGGGGGGAACCCUGAUGCAGCAACGCCGCGUGGAGGAUGACGCAUUUCGGUGUGUAAACUCCUUUUAUAUGUCAAGAAAAUGACGGUAGCAUAUGAAUAAGCACCGGCUAACUCCGUGCCAGCAGCGCGGUAAUACGGAGGGUGCAAGCGUUACUCGGAAUCACUGGGCGUAAAGGACGCGUAGGCGGGUUGGAAAGUCAGGUGUGAAAUCCUACAGCUUAACUGUAGAACUGCACUUGAAACUUCUAAUCUAGAGUAUGGGAGGGGGAGAUGGAAUUAGUGGUGUAGGGGUAAACUCCGUAGAUAUCACUAGGAAUACCUAAAGCGAAGGCGAUCUCCUGGAACAUUACUGACGCUAAGGCGUGAAAGCGUGGGGAGCAAACAGGAUUAGAUACCCCCGUAGUC
rnacentral:rRNA from 1 species